GAUGAACGCUGGCGGCGUGCCUAAUACAUGCAAGUCGAGCGAACAGAUAAGGAGCUUGCUCCUUUGACGUUAGCGGCGGACGGGUGAGUAACACGUGGGUAACCUACCUAUAAGACUGGAAUAACUCCGGGAAACCGGGGCUAAUGCAGGAUAACAUGUUGAACCGCAUGGUUCUACAGUGAAAGGCGGCUUUGCUGUCACUUAUAGAUGGACCCGCGCCGUAUUAGCUAGUUGGUGAGGUAACGGCUCACCAAGGCAACGAUACGUAGCCGACCUGAGAGGGUGAUCGGCCACACGGGAACUGAGACACGGUCCAGACUCCUACGGGAGGCAGCAGUAGGGAAUCUUCCGCAAUGGGCGAAAGCCUGACGGAGCAACGCCGCGUGAGUGAUGAAGGUCUUCGGAUCGUAAAACUCUGUUAUUAGGGAAGAACAAAUGCGUAAGUAACUGUGCGCGUCUUGACGGUACCUAAUCAGAAAGCCACGGCUAACUACGUG
rnacentral:rRNA from 1 species